rnacentral:sRNA from 1 species
UUUUUAACGAUUAUUGGAACGUUUUUAUCAUUUUUAUUAACUAUGGAACUGCUUAUUCGAUUUAAAUUGGUGGAAAAUCAAAAACCCUCCUCAAAUACCGGAAUAAUUACAAAAUAGUUUAAAAAUGCAAAAAAUAAUUAAAAAUUAGGUAAAACGGUAUUUAAAUUAUUACGGAUAUUUUAAUAAUUUUGGCGCUGGUUUGUGGGUUAUUAAAAACCUUUUAAAUUUCCAAAUAAUUUUGUUUAAAACAAAAUUACUUUAUAUCACCUUAUUUCCGAUAGUGGGAAGGUAUUUAUAUAGUUACCAAUAAUGCGAUGGACGUACCUUUCGGGAUAUCGCAAAGAAAAUACAAUUAAAAUGUGAAAAAUAUCUUUUAAAAUAUAUUUUAUAUUUGCUCCUGUUUAAUUUUAUAAUUUAUACCCUCUAAUUAUUUUUUGGGCCAAAAAAACCUGCAAAGUUCGUUAUAUUGUUUCAAAUGGUUAAAAAAUGGUUAAUAACAGCGGUAGCGAUGGGGAGCGGAAUAUUUAAAUUAAGGAAAUUUUUCGCGACACCUAUUCCAUCCCUUUAUACAAUUGGCGCUCCAAUUAACCGGUAAAUAUUUUGUCUUUUAUUUGCAUUUUCCAUUAAUAAUUACUUCUUUUAACAAUUUACCCGCAGAUAUAUUAGUAAUAAGCCAGGGUAAUCCGUGGGAUAUAACCCUGUAAAAUAAUCCACAAAUAAUAUUAGUAAAAAUAUACCUGAGGUUACCUAAUACCGCAUAUAAUAGCUAUAAUAUUAAUCGUUCGUUUAACUAAACAAUUACGCAAACCUGAAUUUUCUCAGCUAUGCAGGAGAAUUUUAUAUCCGCGGUUUGGAGCAAAAGCGCAAUCCGAUUUAAGGGCCUGGGGCGAUAAAUUGCGGGGUUCGGUGUUUUAUUGCGAUAAUGGGGGUUUACGGGCGGACCGUUUCACAUUUUUUCCACCAUGCAGGAGGUUAUUUGUUUGUAUCCGAUUGGGAAAAAUAUACAAAAAUGCGUGUUAGGGUAUACGAAUAAUCCUUAUUUAACGUUUUGCAUUUUAAUAUUUUAUUACACCGGUUUGUUUCCAAGCAAUUACAAAAUUAAUUCCGUGCAAGUGCCUAUAGCUUAAAAAUAACGUUAUUUGUUAAUUUCCCAGGGUCCGCUGCUUGUUACAAAUUAAAUAUAUUUUAUAAAUGUUCUUUAUUAAUUAAUAAGUUAAUUAUAAACGCAAUACAAUUUAUCGUCGUAUAGGAUAAAUAACCGUUUGCAUAUAGUAUAAUACCGCGUUAUUUUAAUAUAAUAUGGUGGAAAUAAACAAAAAAAUAACAAUAUAUAUAUAUAAAGAAUUUGUCAAUUUAGAAAAUGCGGUAGUAAAUUGUGGUAUUAUAUUGGAAAUAUUGGUAAAAAAUAAUAAAACGGCCUCGUUUAAUUUACAUUCUUUUUUUUAACAUUUGGCCCUUAAUUAAUUAAGCCUUUUAUCAGUUAUUAUUAAAGUCGAUAUUAGUAUUUAGCAUUUUUUAAUAUCGAAAUAAAUAUUUUAAUAUUCCCCAAACCGCAAUACCAAUUUUAUAAAUAUUUGGAAUUUAUAUUUGUUACGUUUGGCCGUGGCCGGUUUGUUACAAAAUAACAAUAACGCCGCUGGGAUACCGCUUCCCUCGGGGGAUCCAAAUUUGUAAUAUUUGGAAAAUUUCCCGGUUUUUUUUAAAACGCCAUAACAGCAGCUGGAAAAGUUUCAAAAUUAAAUUUGUCCUUUUUUAAAGCGGCUUUUGCUCCGACAUUAAUAUUUCUUUGCAAAAGGCGUUCCAACACGGGUCCAACACCUAUAACACCCUGUCGAUUACCGAUUAAAAUAUUAUAUAUAACGUUUUGAAACAAAGAUGUUAUUCUAACCAAUUAAAGAGGUACAAAUUCGUUAUUUUUGGUAAUAAUUACCAAAAUAUUAAACUUCCUGCAGGGAUUAUAUUCCAGGAUUUUUUACCUUCCCGGCCGCGAAAUAACAGCGUUCCGAAACGACGGGCAAUGGUUAUCGAUUGUAAAAUGGUGGGUAUAAAAGCUCCAACAGCAAUUAAACAAUAAUAUUAAAACCAGGUUGGAUUUGCGUUUGAAGGGAAAGUUUAUUUUAAAGGCAGUCUUUUAUCGUUACAUUAACCAAUCCAUUAAAAAAACAACCGAAACCCAAAUGGGAAAUUAAGGAAAUUUGCGCCAGGCAGGAUCGUAGCAACCAAUUUAGUGCGUUAAACCUAUUUUCCUAAAACAAUACCCAAAAUAUUUGCCGAAAUCGGAAAAUAUAGCAAUGUUAAUAAUAACCGUAUUAUAACAAAAAUACCCGCUACCAUCGCCUAAUUACCGCCAAAUAAAAGAUUUACCCCGCAUUUGGCUAUUUUUCCUUUGCAAAUUAAAUUAUAUAUCCAUUAUUGGUUAUACCUGUAGAAAAUUUUCCGCAAUCCAAAUAUUCGUUCGUAAUUUAUAUAAAUAAUAACCGCCGAAUUUCUAUUUGUAAGAUAUACCAAAGGAUAGCAGCAAAUCUCCCGCAUAGUACUGUGGCAAAUUUUUAACACCAAUUGUAAAUUUCCAAUAUAUUUAAUAAAUAGGUAUAUUGGUAAGUGGAGCAUUUUGCGCAUUCGUAACCCCAUUUUGGCAGCGCAAAUUAUAAACGGAUUAAUAUAAUAUUGCAAAAAACAGGCCAGUUGGUUGGGCUGCGUUUGUGCAAUAUAACCAACCAAUCGGAUAAAUUCCUUUAUAUAGGGUUGCGUAAUAACACUCAAAUUGUGGGUGGUAAAUUUAUAUAAUAUUAUCUUCGUAAAAUUAUUAGAAUAUUAUUAAAGGGUGUUUGGCGUUUUGUUUAAUUAAUAGCGUAAAGCAAAGGAGUUUUAUUUAA